rnacentral:rRNA from 1 species
AUGGCGGCUACAAAGCUUCAUUUGACGGCAUGGUGCAGAAGCCUCCUGAUUCGGUGCUCCGACGACGUUGCUGCAGGGCCAAAGGCCGACGGGGAUGCAGGCGCUGGUGCUGCUCGCGGCGGGGCGCGGGAAGCACGAGAGGAAGCAGGGGUUGCGGCUCCUGCUUGCUACGCGGGGAAGCACCGACAAGAAGGAGAUGCUUGGGGAAGAACGAGCAGAGGAGGGCAGCUGUGGAUGGAGGAGGAGGUGAUGUGGCGCUGGUCGAUUGGAUCGAUCCGAUGUGAGAGGAUCCUGAGGUGGAUGCGGGAGUGUGGCGGCGGCGGGAUGGGAAAAGAAUGA